rnacentral:rRNA from 1 species
AGUGAACGCUGGCGGUAGGCCUAACACAUGCAAGUCGAACGGCAGCACAGUAAGAGCUUGCUCUUACGGGUGGCGAGUGGCGGACGUGUGAGGAAUACAUCGGAAUCUACUUUUUCGUGGGGGAUAACGUAGGGAAACUUACGCUAAUACCUCAUACGACCUACGGGUGAAAGCAGGGGAUCUUCGGACCUUGCGCGAUUGAAUGAGCCGAUGUCGGAUUAGCUAGUUGGCGGGGUAAAGGCCCACCAAGGCGACGAUCCGUAGCUGGUCUGAGAGGAUGAUCAGCCACACUGGAACUGAGCCACGGUCCAGACUCCUACGGGAGGCAGCAGUGGGGAAUAUUGGACAAUGGGCGCAAGCCUGAUCCAGCCAUACCGCGUGGGUGAAGAAGGCCUUCGGGUUGUAAAGCCCUUUUGUUGGGAAAGAAAAGCAGCAGGUUAAUACCCCGCUGUUCUGACGGUACCCAAAGAAUAAGCACCGGCUAACUUCGUG